rnacentral:rRNA from 1 species
GACAGAGGGGGCAAGCGUUGCUCGGAAUUACUGGGCGUAAAGGGCGCGUAGGCGGGAUGGCAAGUCGGUCGUGAAAUCCCUCGGCUCAACCGAGGAACGUCGAUCGAUACUGCUGUUCUUGAGGAUUGCAGAGGAGACUGGAAUUCCCGGUGUAGCGGUGAAAUGUGUAGAGAUCGGGGAGGAACGACCGGUGGCGAAGGGCGGGUCUCUGGGCAAUUCCUGACGCUGAGGCGCGAAAGCGUGGGGAGCAAACAGG